UACGUACCGGACAAACGUUAUUCGGAAUUACUGGGCUUAAAGAGUGCGUAGGCGGCUCUGCAGGUGAGGUGUGAAAGCCCACGGCUCAACCGUGGAAUAGCGCUUCAAACCGCAGGACUUGAGGGAGACAGGGGUGAGCGGAACUGAUGGUGGAGCGGUGAAAUGCGUUGAUAUCAUCAGGAACACCUGUGGCGAAGGCGGCUCACUGGGUCUCUUCUGACGCUGAGGCACGAAAGCUAGGGGAGCGAACGGG
rnacentral:misc_RNA from 1 species